UACGGGGGGGGCAAGCGUUGUUCGGAAUUACUGGGCGUAAAGGGCUCGUAGGUGGCCAACUAAGUCGGACGUGAAAUCCCUCAGCUUAACUGGGGAACUGCGUCCGAUACUGGAUGGCUUGAGUAUGGGAGAGGGAUGUAGAAUUCCAGGUGUAGCGGUGAAAUGCGUAGAUAUCUGGAGGAAUACCGGUGGCGAAGGCGGCAUCCUGGACCAUUACUGACGCUGAGGCGCGAAAGCUAGGGGAGCAAACGGG
rnacentral:rRNA from 1 species